rnacentral:rRNA from 1 species
AUUGAACGCUAGCGGGAUGCUUUACACAUGCAAGUCGAACGAGUGGCGGACGGGUGAGUAAUAUAUCUGAACUUGCCCUGUAACUGGGGAUACCUCCUCGAACGAGUGCCUAAUACCGCAUACUAUUCGAGCAUCCGAUAUGGGAUUAGCUAGUGGGUGGGGUAAAGGCUCACCAAGGCAACGAUCCGUAGCUGGUUUGAGAGGACGACCAGCCACACUGGGACUGAGACACGGCCCAGACUCCUACGGGAGGCAGCAGUGGGGAAUUUUGGACAAUGGGGGAAACCCUGAUCCAGCCAUCCCGCGUGUAUGAGAAGGCCUUCGGGUUGUAAAGUACUUUUGGCAGAGAAGCGGUAUCUGCAGAAUAAGCACCGGCUAACUACGUGCCAGCAGCCGCGGUAAUAC